CCUACGGGUGGCAGCAGUGAGGAAUAUUGGUCAAUGGACGAGAGUCUGAACCAGCCAAGUAGCGUGAAGGAUGAAUGCCCUGUGGGUUGUAAACCUCUUUUAUCUGGGAAUAAAACGUUCCACGUGUGGGAUUUUGUAUGUACCAUAUGAAUAAGCAUCGGCUAACUCCGUGCCAGCAGCCGCGGUAAUACGGAGGAUGCGCGCGUUAUCCGGAUUUAUUGGGUUUAAAGGGUGCGUAGGCGGGCCGUUAAGUCAGCGGUAAAAUGGCGGGGCUCAACCCCGUGGAGCCGUUGAACCUGGGGGACUUGAGUUGGCGAGAAGUACGCGGAAUGCGCGGUGUAGCGGUGAAAUGCAUAGAUAUCGCGCAGAACCCCGAUUGCGAAGGCAGCGUACCGGCGCCAGACUGACGCUGAGGCACGAAAGCGUGGGGAUCGAACAGGAUUAGAUACCCUUGUAGUC
rnacentral:rRNA from 1 species